ACCCGCACAAGCGGUGGAUGAUGUGGAUUAAUUCGAUGCAACGCGAAAACCUUACUACCCUUGACAUGUCCGGAAUCCCGAAGAGAUUUGGGAGUGCUCGCAAGAGAGCCGGAACACAGGUGCUGCAUGGCUGUCGUCAGCUCGUGUCGUGAGAUGUUGGGUUAAGUCCCGCAACGAGCGCAACCCUUGUCAUUAGUUGCCAUCAUUUGGUUGGGCACUCUAAUGAGACUGCCGGUGACAAACCGGAGGAAGGUGGGGAUGACGUCAAGUCCUCAUGGCCCUUAUGGGUAGGGCUUCACACGUCAUACAAUGGUCGGUACAGAGGGUUGCCAACCCGCGAGGGGGAGCUAAUCCCACAAAGCCGAUCGUAGUCCGGAUCGCAGUCUGCAACUCGACUGCGUGAAGUCGGAAUCGCUAGUAAUCGUGGAUCAGCAUGUCACGGUGAAUACGUUCCCGGGUCUU
rnacentral:rRNA from 1 species